rnacentral:rRNA from 1 species
CUACGGGAUGCUGCAGUGGGGAAUAUUGCACAAUGGGCGCAAGCCUGAUGCAGCCAUGCCGCGUGUAUGAAGAAGGCCUUCGGGUUGUAAAGUACUUUCAGCGGGGAGGAAGGGAGUAAAGUUAAUACCUUUGCUCAUUGACGUUACCCGCAGAAGAAGCACCGGCUAACUCCGUGCCAGCAGCCGCGGUAAUACGGAGGGUGCAAGCGUUAAUCGGAAUUACUGGGCGUAAAGCGCACGCAGGCGGUUUGUUAAGUCAGAUGUGAAAUCCCCGGGCUCAACCUGGGAACUGCAUCUGAUACUGGCAAGCUUGAGUCUCGUAGAGGGGGGUAGAAUUCCAGGUGUAGCGGUGAAAUGCGUAGAGAUCUGGAGGAAUACCGGUGGCGAAGGCGGCCCCCUGGACGAAGGCUGACGCUCAGGUGCGAAAGCGUGGGGAGCAAACAGGAUUGAUACCCCGGUAGUC